rnacentral:rRNA from 1 species
CCUACGGGUGGCAGCAGUGGGGAAUAUUGGUCAAUGGACGAAAGUCUGAACCAGCCAAGUAGCGUGAAGGAUGACUGCCCUAUUGGUUGUAAACUUCUUUUAUAGGGGAGUAUAAUUUUCCACGUGUGGGAUUUUGUAUGUACCAUAUUACUAAGCAUCGGCUAACUCCGUACCAGCAGCCGCGGUAAUACGGAGGAUCCGAGCGUGAUCCGGAUUUGUUGGGUUUAAGGGGAGCGUAGGUGGAUUGUUAAGUCAGUUGUGAAAGUUUGCGGCUCAACCGUAAAAUUGCAGUUGAAACUGGCAGUCUUGAGUACAGUAGAGGUUGGCGGAAUUCGUGGUGUAGCGGUGAAAUGCUUAGAUAUCACGAAGAACUCCGAUUGCGAAGGCAGCUCACUGGACUGCAACUGACACUGAGGCUCGAAAGUGUGGGUAUCAAACAGGAUUAGAUACCCGAGUAGUC